UGGGGAAUAUUGCACAAUGGGCGCAAGCCUGAUGCAGCGACGCCGCGUGAGGGAUGGAGGCCUUCGGGUUGUAAACCUCUUUCGCCAGUGAAGCAGGCCAUCUUCUUUGUGGGGUGGUUGACGGUAGCUGGAUAAGAAGCGCCGGCUAACUACGUGCCAGCAGCCGCGGUAAUACGUAGGGCGCGAGCGUUGUCCGGAAUUAUUGGGCGUAAAGAGCUCGUAGGCGGCUGGUCGCGUCUGUCGUGAAAUCCCCUGGCUUAACUGGGGGCUUGCGGUGGGUACGGGCCGGCUGGAGUGCGGUAGGGGAGACUGGAAUUCCUGGUGUAGCGGUGGAAUGCGCAGAUAUCAGGAGGAACACCGGUGGCGAAGGCGGGUCUCUGGGCCGUUACUGACGCUGAGGAGCGAAAGCGUGGGGAGCGAACAGG
rnacentral:rRNA from 1 species